rnacentral:lncRNA from 1 species
CAACCAACCAACCAACCAACCUAUCCACCCACCCACUAACCAACUAACUAACCAGCCAACCUACUCCCCCAUACCCACCAACCAACUAACCAACCCACCCUCCCACCAACCAAUUAACCAGGCAACCCACUCACACCCCUCCCCUCCAACAACCAACAAACCAACCACCCCCUAUACAAACAGCUUUUGGUUGCACAUAACCAAAGCUGUUGUUGAGUGGGAAGUGGAGAUUGUCUAAUUAAUAAUCUGUUUUAUUCUUUUUCAGAUCACGUUGCACAGGGUACAUAAAGCUGAAUCAUCUGGGGGAAGUUUGCUAAAGACACAGAAUGCAAAGCCCCAUCUCACUCUUCUUGAAUCAGAAUGGCUGACUGUGGUGCUCAGGAAUUUGCAUGUUUAAUAAGUUUUCCCCGGGUGAUUCUAAUGAAUGCAACUUGAGUACUGUUUAGUAUAUGCUGAGUAUACCUGGAGCUUUGAUGUGCUGCAGGGAUUAGAAGAGUUUUCUGAUUUUGACCUUCCCAUUUUGAAAUAAGUAGAUUCACCAUUUUUUUUUUUUUUGGGAUGGAGUCUCACUCUGUCGCCCAGGCUGGAGUGCAGCGGCGCGAUCUCUACUCACUCACUGCAACCUCUGCCUCCUGGGUUCAAGAGAUUCUUCUGCCUCAGCCUCCUGAGUAGAGAUGGAGUUUCGCCAUGCUGGCCAGGCUGGUCUCGAACUCCUGACCUCGUGAUCCACCCACCUCGGCCUCCCAAAGUGCUAGGAUUACAAGCCUGGUGACCAAGUGGCUUAUUGUCCAUGAAGGGAGGUUUGUAAGAGGAAGGGAGGCUUGUAAGUAUCGCAUUUUAGGACACGCUGUGGAAGCCAGGACUGCCCUGCGCAGCAGCCACUGUGAACAGCUUGUGAUUCAUAGUUUCACUCUUAUUGCCCAGGCUGGAGUACAGUGGCACAAUCUUGGCUCACUGCAACUUCUGCCUCCUGGGUUCAAGCAAUUCUCCUGCCUUAGCCUCCCGAGUAGCUGGGAUUACAGGCACCUGCCACCACCCCUGGCUAAUUUUUGUUAGGAAGACCUUAUCUUUG